AGUGAACGCUGGCGGUAGGCCUAACACAUGCAAGUCGAACGGCAGCACAGUAAGAGCUUGCUCUUACGGGUGGCGAGUGGCGGACGGGUGAGGAAUACAUCGGAAUCUACUUUUUCGUGGGGGAUAACGUAGGGAAACUUACGCUAAUACCGCAUACGACCUACGGGUGAAAGCAGGGGAUCUUCGGACCUUGCGCGAUUGAAUGAGCCGAUGUCGGAUUAGCUAGUUGGCGGGGUAAAGGCCCACCAAGGCGACGAUCCGUAGCUGGUCUGAGAGGAUGAUCAGCCAAACUGGAACGGAGACACGGUCCAGAAUCCUACGGGAGGCAGCAGUGGGGAAUAUUGGAAAAUGGGCGCAAGCCUGAUCCAGCCAUACCGCGUGGGUGAAGAAGGCCUUCGGGUUGUAAAGCCCUUUUGUUGGGAAAGAAAAGCAGCAGGUUAAUACCCCGCUGUUCUGACGGUACCCAAAGAAUAAGCACCGGCUAACUUCGUG
rnacentral:rRNA from 1 species